UAAGUCGCCGAGGCAACGGGUCCUAACGGCUGCAGCUCGCGGAUGCUGGGCCACAAAACUCGCCGCCAGGCCGCUGCUCCCCCUCACCUGAUAGCCCGGUUGGAUGCUCUCGGUGGGAUUCGAUAAACGUUGACUUCGGGUUUGACACAGAGGACCGACUCGUACUCGGACUGACCCUCGGUCGCCAUUUUGACUUUUACUCAGUCGGUGCACGCCGGUGGUGAUGGUGGUGACGAAGUACAGGCGAGAUACAAAGAUCCUGAGGCGAAGGUUGGGGGUCUGGCUGAGGAACUGGCACAAUCGGAUGGAGCAGUUGGCACAGGGAGACCAAGAGCAGAACCAGGUGAUGGAGUAACUGAGCCUCCUCUCUCCAGUACCUCCACACCCCCACAAACCAGGGCACAAGGCUCCCAGCUUUUCUCACAUGCGCCCCCAUCUUGACACACUUACUUCUACAUGGCAGCCAUUACGAUUCCGGAGGUGUCCAAAGUCAAAAGAUAAGGAAUCUGGCCCCACUCGCCUUUUAAUUACAAAGCAGAGACUCUGGACAAGCAGCCGGCCCAGGCCCUCCCUGCGGUACCAGCUGCCCGUCACCAACCUGCAGAUCCUCCUGAUGCCCGUUCGAUUCUCGCUUUCCCGGAAGAUGCAGCCGAGGAUGUCACCCUCGCAGUCUGCCACCCAGACGUGCCCCGCUGCCUGUUCCCUCUCCGGGGUGACCUUCUCUGUUGAUACAUCUUUGUCCUUGUCUUUGGGAGCAAUUCCGCGCCUCGUCUGAGUAAAGGAAAUAUGAUUA